AAUAGAUACCCAGGUAGUCCACGCCGUAAACGAUGAGUGCUAGGUGUUGGGGGGUUCCACCCUUAGUGCUGAAGUUAACACAUUAAGCACUCCGCCUGGGGAGUACGACCGCAAGGUUGAAACUCAAAGGAAUUGACGGGGGCCCGCACAAGCAGUGGAGCAUGUGGUUUAAUUCGAAGCAACGCGAAGAACCUUACCAGGUCUUGACAUCCUUUGACCACUCUAGAGAUAGAGCUUUCCCCUUCGGGGGACAAAGUGACAGGUGGUGCAUGGUUGUCGUCAGCUCGUGUCGUGAGAUGUUGGGUUAAGUCCCGCAACGAGCGCAACCCUUGACCUUAGUUGCCAGCAUUCAGUUGGGCACUCUAAGGUGACUGCCGGUGACAAACCGGAGGAAGGUGGGGACGACGUCAAAUCAUCAUGCCCCUUAUGACCUGGGCUACACACGUGCUACAAUGGAUGAUACAAAGGGUUGCGAAGCCGCGAGGCCAAGCCAAUCCCAAAAAGUCAUUCUCAGUUCGGAUUGUAGGCUGCAACUCGCCUA
rnacentral:rRNA from 1 species